CACGUAGGGGCCAAGCGUUGUCCGGAUUUAUUGGGCGUAAAGAGCUCGUAGGCGGUUCGACAAGUCGGGUGUGAAAACUCCGGGCUCAACCCGGAGACGCCACCCGAUACUGUUGUGACUGGAGUCCGGUAGGGGAGUGGGGAAUUCCUGGUGUAGCGGUGAAAUGCGUAGAUAUCGAGAGGAACACCUGCGGCGAAGGCGGGUUGCUGGGCCGACACUGACGCUGAUGCGCGAAAGCCAGGGGAGCGAACGGG
rnacentral:rRNA from 1 species